rnacentral:rRNA from 1 species
ACGGGUGAGUAACACGUGGGAAACUACCCUUUGGUGCGGAAUAACACAGAGAAAUUUGUGCUAAUACCGCAUGAGCUCUUCGGAGGGAAGAUUUAUCGCCAAAGGAUGUGCCCGCGUCCGAUUAGCUAGUUGGUGAGGUAAUGGCUCACCAAGGCGACGAUCGGUAGCUGGUCUGAGAGGAUGAUCAGCCACACUGGGACUGAGACACGGCCCAGACUCCUACGGGAGGCAGCAGUGGGGAAUAUUGGACAAUGGGCGCAAGCCUGAUCCAGCCAUGCCGCGUGAGUGAUGAAGGCCUUAGGGUUGUAAAGCUCUUUCGCCCGCGAGGAUAAUGACGGUAGCGGGAUAAGAAGCCCCGGCUAACUUCGUGCCAGCAGCCGCGGUAAUACGAAGGGGGCUAGCGUUGUUCGGAAUCACUGGGCGUAAAGCGCACGUAGGCGGACUUUUAAGUCAGAGGUGAAAGCCUGGAGCUCAACUUCAGAACUGCCUUUGAUACUGGAAGUCUUGAGUCCGGUAGAGGUGAGUGGAACUGCUAGU